rnacentral:rRNA from 1 species
UACGGAGGGGGCUAGCGGUGUUCGGAAUUACUGGGCGUAAAGGGCGCGUAGGCGCGCGAUCAAGUGAGGGGUGAAAGGCCUGGGCUCAACCUGGGAAUUGCCUUUGAAACUGAUUGUCUAGAGUCCGGAAGAGGAUGGCGGAAUUCCCAGUGUAGAGGUGAAAUUCGUAGAUAUUGGGAAGAACACCAGUGGCGAUGGCGGCCAUCUGGUCCGGUACUGACGCUGAGGCGCGAAAGCGUGGGGAGCAAACAGG